UGUGACACUAGGGAUCCCUGGUUCAAUACUGCUCGGAAUCAAAUAUUUUUCUUUUUACUUUCAUUGAUAUUGUAUGUAAAUAUUAUUUAUGUAUUUGUGUGGAUGAAUGACAUUUUAUCAUAUCUUAAGUAUGUUGAAUCUGUGAAACAAGAUACGUAAUAACUUAUGAUUCAUGACAUGACAAGUAAAGAAAAUACGUCAACAAAUUGCUCAGCUGCAGGUGGUACACCUUUGCUCUCGCAAUUUGGGGGGCAGUUUAAGGAACCAUUUGCACUCGAGCACAGACAAUAUUUAAUUUAGUUAACUUAGAUUAUAUGUAUCGAUUUUUUAAGACAAGAGAAUGCAAAAUAAAGCAAUUAACACCGCUCUCUUGUCACAGCCUGUACGCAUCAUCACACUCAUGUCAUUCGUUGUCCUAGGAGGACUUAAUAUUUUGUGCGGCUCCACAGUUAGCCAUAUUGAUAUUUAUUUGCAGAAUAGAGGCGCAGAAUUAAUAAGUCGCUCUCAUUUGUGAAUGAUCUGCCAUUAUUUAACUAGAACUUUACGUUCAACUGUUCAAAAGCCACCACCAAUAAGAAAUACAGAGGGUGUAGCAGGUCCAUCCCCCAUUACAGCAUGUGCCCUACAGCAGAGCCCGACGAAUCGCUCAACUCCCAUGAUUCAGCCAAUAGCAAAACGGGCUGAGGUGGUAUCUGGUCCAUCUCUCGCUGCAUCGUAUGUGCUGAAACACAGCCCAAGGAAUAGCUCAACUUCCACAAUUCAACCAAUACCAAAACAGGCUGUGGUGGUACCACAUCCAUCCAUUGGUACAGUGCGUGAGUUGCUACACAGCUGAACAAAUGCAACCUGUGAUGCCAGGAAACUCACAGAUAAACUGUAUCAUGUGCCAGACGUCGAGCACCAUUGUGUUUGGAAGUUCCAUUGUUCUGUGUGCAAACGGUUUUGGAAGUUUGGAUGAAUCAAGUUUCUGAAACUGACUGGAAAGAAACUUAAUUAUCAAAAACUAAGAUUUUAUUGCAAUUCAUGAUACUGUGAAAUAUUUUUAUAAUUGCAGUACAUUCAGCUAAAAGUUACAGUAAAUUUUCUUGUAAGUUA